UACGAAGGGUGCAAGCGUUACUCGGAAUUACUGGGCGUAAAGCGUGCGUAGGUGGUGAGUUAAGUCUGUCGUGAAAGCCCCGGGCUCAACCUGGGAAUGGCGAUGGAUACUGGCUCGCUAGAGUGCGGUAGAGGAGAGUGGAAUUCCCGGUGUAGCAGUGAAAUGCGUAGAGAUCGGGAGGAACAUCAGUUGCGAAGGCGGCUCUCUGGACCAGCACUGACGCUGA
rnacentral:rRNA from 1 species